CUUGGAAACGUUCUCUCACACCGUCAUUUGGGAUGCUCACACCAUUUGAUGGAUGGACACAAUGGUUCAUCUAUAGGAGUGUUAAUAGGACCAAAAGCCGUAUAAUUGCACACCAAUUAACACUGACAGAAUGACUAAUGUUAGCUGCUCCCAUUUGUGUCCUCUUCCCCUCCGCCUCCAUCACUCUUUUCUCUACCUUUUAGACAAGUUUCCUUUAACAUCCUCUCCCUGAGCUCCCCCCAGCCGGCUGCGUGUGAAUCCAUCUAUCCUGACCUCGUCCUCUACCUCACCCAGGUUAUGGAGGCCGUAAGGGGGAGCCGACUGGAGACGGGAAACGAGAGCCCCACGACAUUCUCUCUCCAAUUUAUGUGAGGAUUAUUGAGAGGCAACCAAAAGAAGCUGAGGACAACUGGAGUCUGGGAGGAGGGAAGCACAAAAAAAAAAAAAAAAAA